AGAACGAACGCUGGCGGCAGGCCUCAAACAUGCAAGUCUAGGGGGUGUAGCAAUACAUCACCGGCGGACGGGUGCGUAACACGUGGGAAUAUACCUUUUGGUUCGGAACAACGCAGGGAAACUUGCGCUAAUACCGAAUGUGCCCUUACGGGGAAAGAUUUAUCGCCAAAGGAUUAGCCCGCGUAGGAUUAGCUAGUUGGUGAGGUAAUGGCUCACCAAGGCUCCGAUCCUUAGCUGUUCUGAGAGGAAGAUCAGCCACACUGGGGCUGAGACACGGCCCAGACUCCUACGGGAGGCAGCAGUUGGGAAUCUUGGACAAUGGGGAAACCCUGAUCCAGCCAUGCCGCGUGAGUGAUGAAGGCCUUCGGGUUGUAAAACUCUUUCGACGGGGACGAGUAAUGACGGUACCCGUAGAAGAAGCUCCGGCUAACUUCGCGCCAGCAGCCGC
rnacentral:rRNA from 1 species